AGAAGAUACUCAGAUAAAGGAAGUAGAUACAUCUAUUGAUGGUAAUGAUGCUGAUGAUGAUACUGAAGAUGAUGCAGAAGAAGAUGAUGAUGAUAAUGAUUUGGAUAAUACCAAUUCUAGAGAAAAUCCAGCUUACGAACAGCAGACAGAAUCAUUACCAAGGAGAUCUCAGAGAGCAAAGAAAACAACAUCAUGGAUUACAAGUGGCGAUUAUAUAGUAAAUCAACAGGUAUUAACAAAACAACCAGAUUGGAAGAUAAGAGCAGACUACCUUCAGACAUUAGUCUCUAGUGAUGUUUUUCACUCUGAAAAUAGCAAAGAACUAAUAGAAAAGACUCUACUACAGAUCAUUUCUGGUAGACAUUAGUAUUUACAAUUUUAACGACAUCAGUAUUAACCAGUCAGUUCAAUCAGCUAAAUUAGUGAUAAAGUCUAUAGAAUUACGAAGAGAGAUAUAGUGCGUUUUUAUAGUUUUUAAGAUAUUUUAUUUUCAGUUUUCUUGCAGUCAUGAAGGUUUAAAAGUAAUUCAAAUUACUCGUAGAUAUUUGUUUUGAUAAGUAAUAAAUGACGAGGACGUCAUUUCACAAAGAGGGGAAGCAUGUGAUAGGGUGAUAUUUCAUAUUAAUUAAGUAAUAAUUUCAUUAUCAUGAAAUUAUUAAUUAAUAGUUCUAUAAAUUAUAAGUUUACAGUAUUUACUAUAAAAGUUGUCAAUAUAAACAACUUUAUGUACAACCUAACAGUAUGUAAAUAGCUACAUAGUUAUUUAUAUAGUAUGACAUCACAAUGGUCAUUAUGGUCAGUGUAAACCUGUUUUAGUUAAUUAUAUAUCACAUGGUCAAUUCUAUUUUUGAAUUCUCAAUUUCAUUGGUCCUUUAAAUUCCCUCUCUUUGCUUUGUCCUUUUUGAUCUGAUCUUCAUACUGACCAGAUGUGUUUAGCUUAAGACCAAGAAGAAAUCUAUAGACUGUAAGUAAUUGUUUUAUAUUUUAUGCUAUUUAUAUUAAUGCUUAUUUAUAAAGCAUAUUGUAUUUGCUAGAUAAGUAUAUGCUAUAUAGUGAAAUGUAAAUCUAUUUAAAUGUAAAUUAUCAUGAGUGAAAACUUAGUAUUUGAGCAACACUCAUUAUAGUUAUUUUAACAAUCUUAAGCUAGAUAACCUAAAUGUAGUUUUAAGAGUAUUGUUAUAUGUAUUAGAUUCCAUACCUGAAGAAUAUAUCAGGAUCAUGCAGAUGCAGAUCAAUUAGGCUUUGUGUCACACAUAGAGCUUAUGAUAUAAUAUAAUAUAAAGUAAUAAUCAAGAACCCUA